rnacentral:lncRNA from 1 species
CACCUCUCUGCCCUGAUCCACGCGCACCACCUCUCUGCCCCGAUCCACCAAGCCACCUCCCGUCCCUCGGAUCUGUCUGCCGUGCCGCCACCGGCCAUGCUGCCCUCGCCAUCCCCCGGAUCCCGUCGCCAUCGGCCUCGGAUCCGACCGCCGCGCCACCGGGCCACAUGGACUGCCGCUGAGAUGGACGGCGCCGGCCACGUGGGAGCGGAAGAGCCGGAGGGCGCCGACCAUGAGGACAUCACUGCUCUCGCAAGUGUCCGUCCGGAGUUGCUAGAACAACUCGUCCACGACGAUGAAUGGUAUCUGGUUCUGGAGUAGCAGGAGGUCGCAUGUGACAAGCCCCCAUACACGUCCCUCACCACUCGCCAGCCGUCGUGACCAACCAACCAUCGGUCAACGGGGCGCCUCUAGGCCUCUGCGCUGCCGCCGCAGCUGAGUGUCGGUGUCACAUCUCAUGUCCUUCUGUUGCAGGCCGUCCAUGGCACAGACGGGCCGAGAGUCCGCGGCGAGGGUGGCGGAUCCGGGAGCAGUGCCCUUCUCCUCAAGCUUCAAUCGCCGGCCUUGCGCUGCUCAAGGAGGAGGAGCAGAAGUGUCGCACCUAGAGAUCUUAGGCCACCACCUGAACUUCAUUUUUUUCUAGAUAUUCCUUCUCGUUCAGCAACUUCGGUUCUGAAAGAAAGCAUCCUCUAAAGUUGCAGUCAUACGCCAUCCACAAUUGACACGCCAGUUGUAACCCAUGGUCUCAAAUUCAGCUACAUUUUCUUUGAUGUUGUCGAUAGUGACACUAGUGCUCAACAAUUGUUUGUGCAAACGACCAAGGAAAAAUCUGGUUAUGGUGCAGAAAAUAUAAUUAUACCUUCAACUAAUUUGUAGGUGUUUUCACUUACCUACAGAUUUCAUGGUUCACAUACAUCAGACAAAUCUUGUCCGCAGCAUGUUAGAUGAAAAAUGCUGCUACAAAGCAUUAGAUUGAGA